rnacentral:rRNA from 1 species
AGAGUUUGAUCCUGGCUCAGAUUGAACGCUGGCGGCAUGCCUAACACAUGCAAGUCGAACGGCAGCACGGUGGUAGCAAUACCAUGGGUGGCGAGUGGCGGACGGGUGAGUAAUGCAUCGGGACCUACCUGAACGUGGGGGAUAACGUAGGGAAACUUACGCUAAUACCGCAUACGUCCUACGGGAGAAAGCAGGGGACCUUCGGGCCUUGCGCGGUCAGACGGACCGAUGUUCGAUUAGCUAGUUGGUGAGGUAAUGGCUCACCAAGGCGACGAUCGAUAGCUGGUCUGAGAGGAUGAUCAGCCACACUGGAACUGAGACACGGUCCAGACUCCUACGGGAGGCAGCAGUGGGGAAUAUUGGACAAUGGGCGCAAGCCUGAUCCAGCGAUGCCGCGUGUGUGAAGAAGGCCUUCGGGUUGUAAAGCACUUUUAUCGGGAGCGAAAUACCAUCGGUUAAUACCCGGUGGGGCUGACGGUACCCGAGGAAUAAGCACCGGCUAACUUCGUGCCAGCAGCCGCGGUAAU